rnacentral:misc_RNA from 1 species
UGUCUUCGGAUAUGCCCCGAUAUGAACCUUCCCGUGCUUUUUAGAACAUAGAUGGCACCAGUCAGGUGACCAUCGAAACGCAAUACGCCACGGAAAUGCUUUGGCAUUCGGAUGGUAUGGCGAGCCGCGCCGUCCACGUUUCUCUUUCUUCAAGAAGACAAAAAACCGCGUCGAUCCGGAUGGUUGAUGGCUGUCUGGACCGGUUUGACGAGAAUGGGCCCGUAGCUCAGUUGGUUAGAGCACACGCUUG